AAAAGAGGACCAGGUGGGACUACGCUUCGGAGUGUGUGUUUACCAACAGCUUGCUGAAGCCUCAUCCUUGCUGGUUGCUAUUUGGGGUUUUCCAUCCGAAAAGUGACCAUACUUUAUCUGCAUCUGUUCUGCUGGCCUACUCAGGUUAUUUUUCAGGUGUCUUCAGCUGUGGACUGGUUUGAAUCACGACAAAGUGAAGAGUGCAACAGGUUUCAGGAUGCAAGAGCUGGACAAACACCUCCAAAGCAAACACUUCUAGCCUGG